rnacentral:rRNA from 1 species
UACAGAGGUCUCAAGCGUUGUUCGGAUUCAUUGGGCGUAAAGGGUGCGUAGGCGGCGCGGCAAGUCGGGUGUGAAAUCUUGGAGCUUAACUCCGAAACUGCAUUCGAUACUGCCGUGCUUGAGGACUGGAGAGGAGACUGGAAUUUACGGUGUAGCGGUGAAAUGCGUAGAUAUCGUAAGGAAGACCAGUGGCGAAGGCGGGUCUCUGGACAGUUCCUGACGCUGAGGCACGAAGGCCAGGGGAGCAAACGGG